rnacentral:rRNA from 1 species
CCUACGGGUGGCAGCAGUCGGGAAUAUUGCGCAAUGGAGGAAACUCUGACGCAGGGACGCCGCGUGCAGGAAGAAGGUGUUCGGAUUGUAAACUGCUUUAGACAGGGAAGAAACAAGAAAGUACCUGGAAAAUAAGCACCGGCUAACUACGUGCCAGCAGCCGCGGUAAUAAGUAGGGAGGAAGCGUUCUCCGGAUUUAUGGGGUGUAACGGGUGCGUAGCCGGGACGGAAAGUUGGUUGUGAAAUCCCUCGGCUUAACUGAGGAACUGCAACCAAAACUCACUUUCUUGAGUGCUGGAGAGGCAAGUGGAAUUCCUCGUGUAGCGGUUAAAUGCGUAGAUAUUAGGCGGCACCCCAGUGGCGAAGGCGACUUUCUGGACAGUAACUGACGUUGAGGCACGAAAGUGUGGGGAGCAAACAGGAUUAGAUACCCUUGUAGUC